AGGAACUCAUGGGCGUCCUGUCCUGCACACAAACCCCUCAGGAACAAGAGGUUCAGAAGAAGAUGUCAGUUCUGUGUUUUCUGCCACAUCUUCAUCCUUCCCUUCAUCCUCCGCUGCAGCUGAGACUGGAUUGUCAGCGGUGGCUGAAUCUUCCUGGACACUAGCUUCUCCUUCAGACUCCUCGCUGGUGUUGCCCCUGGUGAUAAAGGGAAACACAGGUGUGUCAGGAGGCCUCAGGAGCUGAACCUUUGUGCAGGUGUCCAAUUAAAAUGGCUGCUUGAGAGGGCCAUUCUUACUUUGCAACUCAGACACAUUUCAAACAUACAACAUCCAUUCAUUACUGACGACUGACGUGGUCCCAUCUCAGUCUUUGCUUGUUUGGUUGGUUGGUUAAUUAAGCAAGUUUUAAAAACUGAUAUGGCCCUUGAUGUCAAAA